AGCCGUUUUCUGAAAAUGGGACACACUCUAUAGACUCCUAGAUCUAGACGCAAUCAGCCAAAAAAAGACCACAAAAAAAAAAAAACCAACGCCAAAAGCUGAAAAAAUGAAAAAAUCAAGACCUAGGAAGCUGCAUAGCCGUAUAACUCCAAAAAGAAAGACCCCCAGCGUUGAUCUUCUUAAGCAUUUUUGAACAGAGAGACCUAAGCGACAGGACAAAAAAGAGCCGCUGAACAGACGCGGCCUCCCUCCCCCUCGUCGUUCUUCUGUUGCGAGUUGCAGAACGCCGGACUCUCCUCUCACCAAGCCAGCGGCGAGCUCGCCGGUAAAAACACACCCGCACGCCCAAAACCAACAUCGACUUUGAUUUUUGAAUUUUAGAGUUGUCGCUUGUUCUGAUUUUAAUGGAAAUUUGUUCAAUUCUGCCCAUAUGGUGUUUGUUCGAGUGAUCGAGCUGCCGGCGAGAUCCCGUUCGAGGGAUCAACGUUAGAGGUGGUUGUUUCGAGGUUUUUUCGUUCGAGGUUCUCGAUGUCGUUUCCAGUUGCGAUUAGUUCUAUUCCGUUUCAGAUUUUUGUGUUCAUUUUCGGGUGUGGAUCUAGUCACCGGAGUUUGAGCAUGACAAACACCCCAAGACCGUCUGGUUAGGACCGUUGCAUCCAGGAGUUGCUUAAGGAGAAUUUUUUAUAUUUUGAGUAUGUUUUUUAAUGCUGUCUUGUACUUUAUAGUUAUGUCCAGUAGCAAUAAUCUUUUAGUUGGUGUCGGAGUUUGUCGUAGUAUAGUUGAGUUGAGUUUCUCAUUAUCAUAUUUCCCGUUUUUGUUUUGAAAAUCAAAGAAAAAAAAGAAAGUUGUAAAUGAAUAAUCCAAAAAGACCUUUUUUUAGUUUAAUUUAUCAUUACUUUUCAAGAA